rnacentral:rRNA from 1 species
AAAGCGAGUCUGAAUAGGGCGAAUUAGUACGUGGUCGUAGACCCGAAACCAGGUGAUCUACCCAUGUCCAGGGUGAAGGUGAGGUAACACUUACUGGAGGCCCGAACCCACGCACGUUGAAAAGUGCGGGGAUGAGGUGUGGGUAGCGGAGAAAUUCCAAUCGAACCUGGAGAUAGCUGGUUCUCUCCGAAAUAGCUUUAGGGCUAGCCUCGUGAUUAAGAAUACUGGAGGUAGAGCACUGUUUGGACUAGGGGGGCAUCUCGCUUUACCGAAUUCAGACAAACUCCGAAUGCCAGAUAUUUAUACACGGGAGUCAGACUGCGAGUGAUAAGAUCCGUAGUCAAGGGGGAAACAGCCCAGACCACCAGCUAAGGUCCCAAAGUAAUCGUUAAGUGGAAAAGGAUGUGGCGUUGCUUAGACAACCAGGAUGUUGGCUUAGAAGCAGCCAUCAUUUAAAGAGUGCGUAAUAGCUCACUGGU